rnacentral:rRNA from 1 species
GAUGAACGCUGGCGGCGUGCCUAAUACAUGCAAGUCGAGCGAACAGAUGAGGAGCUUGCUCCUCUGACGUUAGCGGCGGACGGGUGAGUAACACGUGGAUAACCUACCUAUAAGACUGGGAUAACUUCGGGAAACCGGAUCUAAUACCGGAUAAUAUAUUGAACCGCAUGGUUCAAUAGUGAAAGACGGUUUUGCUGUCACUUAUAGAUGGAUCCGCGCCGCAUUAUCUAGUUGGUAAGGUAACGGCUUACCAAGGCGACGAUGCGUAGCCGACCUGAGAGGGUGAUCGGCCACACUGGAACUGAGACACGGUCCAGACUCCUACGGGAGGCAGCAGUAGGGAAUCUUCCGCAAUGGGCGAAAGCCUGACGGAGCAACGCCGCGUGAGUGAUGAAGGUCUUCGGAUCGUAAAACUCUGUUAUUAGGGAAGAACAAAUGUGUAAGUAACUAUGCACGUCUUGACGGUACCUAAUCAGAAAGCCACGGCUAACUACGUG